GCUGAACGGUGCAGUUCCUCUAACGUCCACUAGAGGCUGGGCCUAAAGGACUUCUGAAACCCUUCAGAGGAUCUAUUUUCCCGGUGGAAUCGUAGCAACAGACCAUAAAUCCAGUUUCCAGCUGAUAGUCACAGACCUGUUCUGGCUCCCUUACUUCCUGUACAGUUACAGUACAGUCACAUGAUGAAGUCAGUGUUUGUACUGCAGUGAGCUGAAAGGUUCAUGCUGCUCUGAAGGUUACAUUUCAGACAUGAGCCUUAAGGGCUUGAAAGAAGAA